rnacentral:lncRNA from 1 species
CAUAUUUAUUCAUCAUCAAUACAAAUAUAUAAUCAUACAAAAUACACAAUAAUAACAGGAUUCGGAAACAAGCUAUAUAUAGCUUAUAUUAAUCCGUUUCCUUGAAAUACCAACUCCAGUUAACUAUUACAUAAAAAUAGCAUGCAAUAUUACUAUGAUAUGGAACAAGAAUAAAUAAGUAACUAUAUAACUGAAAAAGAAAGGAGAAAAAAAAACUUAAUUUUAAAAUAAUGAAAAUAAAUACAAC